rnacentral:misc_RNA from 1 species
GAUGAAGAACGUAGUGAAAUGCGAUACUUGGUGUGAAUUGCAGAAUCCCGUGAACCAUCGAGUCUUUGAACGCAAGUUGCGCCCGAAGCCGUCAGGCCGAGGGCACGCCUGCCUGGGCGUCACACGCCGUUGCCCCCCCGCGCCCCGCACCCAACUCUUUGGGAGCGACCGCGGGGCGGGCUGAUGAUGGCCUCCCGUGCGCUCCGCCGCGCGGUUGGUCCAAAUACCGAGUCCCCGGCGACGUGCGCCACGACGAUCGGUGGUUGAGAGACCUCUGUCGCAAGUCGUGCGCGCCCGUCGCGUCACGCGGGCUCGCAUAGCGCCUCGCGCCGCACCCGGUGCGGAGCUUUCAACGCGACCCCAGGUCAGGCGGGGUUACCCGCUGAAUUUAAGCAUAUCAAUAAGCGGAGGA